UGUGGUAGCAUACGUGUGGAG
rnacentral:siRNA from 1 species